UCUCAUGCUAGUAUCCCCCCAAAUGAAGUCUUUGAGGAUAAACCAUAUAAGACGGUGCUAUUCCUUUUUUGCAGUCACAGUGUACCUGAUUCUGCAGGCACCUAAGCAUGAAAGAAAACACCCCACAUUUCCAGAUGGAGAAAGCCUCUUCUCUGACAAAUGCAGCACCAUCAGUCGAUGCACAAUGUCGCUCCAGCUCACAUCUCCUGGUACAGUCGGUGGCCGGUGAUGUGUUCGAUGUAGAUGCCCUGGAGCAGCGAACCGCAGCCACUGGGAGCCGCGAUCGGCCG